rnacentral:lncRNA from 10 species
GUACACAGUAAGUUUGAGUGCCUCCCUUUUAGAGCAUUUUGAAUGUUUUUCACUGCUGUAUUACUGAAACAGGGCUUGGCACAUAGUAGACUAUCCAUCAAUAUUUGUGGAAUCCGUUGUUAUACCCGUGACCUUAUAGAAAUCAAGUUAUUUCAUAAAACAAAUUAUAUUCUUCUAUUUCAGGGCCUUAAAGAACAUUGUCUCAGUGACACUUAAGUUUGCCAAAUGAAAUAAGCUUUCAAUUUUUGAAAGUAUUUGAUGUUGCAUACAGUUUGGGAUAAUUCUUUUCAUUAAAGCCAUAAUUUUUCUGAUAGUCUUAGCUCAUAAAAUCACAAGUUUUUAUUUUCUCCAAUAUUUAGCAUCAUCGUAAUGACCAUACCUUGCCAGAGGGCUUUCUGUUUCUCCAGUGGCUUUCAUAGAAUGGCUUCCCAUUUGACUGGACCAACCCACUCAUAAUGAUCUCCCAAAGCAUUAAUAUUAUUUAUUGAGAACAUCUUAACUCAUCAUAUUCGCUGCAUACAUAGAACUAAAAUACAGCAAGAGAAACGUAGAGGAGCAAUGUCAAAAAUAUGACAUCCUGGACCAAGGAAGUGUGAUUCAGCUUUCACCUAGUUUUUCAGAUUGGGCCCUGCUCAUGUUGGAUUUGGCAGUUUCUUCUAAGCAUUGCCUAUACCCGCUGUGGCCUGUUCCUCCCGGGCCUGCCUUUGGAGAGGUUGUAAGUUUCCUUCCCUGUCCCGUGGCCCACACUGUGCCCUUUAUUCUUCAGUUCCACCUUCAGGUCCUGUUCCUCCAUAUCUCUCCCAAGCUCUCACU